UACGGGAGGGGUAAGCGUUGUUCGGAAUUACUGGGCGUAAAGGGCUCGUAGGCGGCCAACUAAGUCGGACGUGAAAUCCCUCAGCUUAACUGGGGAACUGCGUCCGAUACUGGAUGGCUUGGAUUUGGGAGAGGGAUGCGGAAUUCCAGGUGUAGCGGUGAAAUGCGUAGAUAUCUGGAGGAACACCGGUGGCGAAGGCGGCAUCCUGGACCAAUAUUGACGCUGAGGAGCGAAAGCUAGGGGAGCAAACGGA
rnacentral:rRNA from 1 species